UACAGAGGUCUCAAGCGUUGUUCGGAUUCAUUGGGCGUAAAGGGUGCGUAGGCGGCGCGGUAAGUCGGGUGUGAAAUCUCGGAGCUUAACUCCGAAACUGCAUUCGAUACUGCCGUGCUUGAGGACUGGAGAGGAGACUGGAAUUUACGGUGUAGCGGUGAAAUGGCGUAGGAUAUCGUAAGGAAGACCAGUGGCGAAGGC
rnacentral:rRNA from 1 species